UUAUUCUGCCGAUAGUUCAUUUUCAUUUGACGUAUUAAUCUAUGCUUCUUUCUGUAAAGAUAACUCAUCCCUGCGUGAUGGCAGGAGUGCAUAACCAGCACCAUGCCAGGAAUAUUUUACUCCCUUUGAAAAGACGAUGGAAUAACAAGUAACCAGAGUUGAGCUGGCAUCACCCAUCCAUUUUAAGAAGCCAGAGGUCCCUGGCAAGAGGCCUGGUGUAAGAGCUUUGCAGCCUGGUCCUGCAGCUGAUCUUCUGGACUGACUUCAUUGAAUUCAUUAGUGGGUUCUUAGGCCAGGAGGAGGGAAGGCCCUGCCUGAGCCCCAGGCCCAUCACUGGAUGGGUCCAUCUCCAGCAGCCGCCUCCUGUGUUUCAAAGAGGCCAGGCCAAAUCUUUGCACGGAUUAGUAGUUAACAAUGGAGUUAAUAAUGAUAAUGGCACAAACGUCCUGUGCCUGCAUGAGCUACACUUAGGAAAAUCUGCCAGCACCAGGUAAUCACCAUGUUUCA
rnacentral:lncRNA from 1 species